CGCGAAUGGCUCAUUACAACAGCUAUAGUUUACUUGAUCUUGACAAUCCUACUUGGAUAACUGUGGUAAUUCUAGAGCUAAUACAUGCACCAAAGCUCUGACCUUGCGGGAAGAGUGCAUUUAUUAGAACAAAACCAGGCGGCUUCGGUCGUUUUUUGUUGACUCAGAAUAACUAAGCUGAUCGCAUGGUCUUGUACCGGCGACGUGUCUUUCAAGUAUCUGCCUUAUCAACUUUCGAUGGUAGUGUAUCUGACUACCAUGGUUGUAACGGGUAACGGAGGAUAAGGGUUCGACUCCGGAGAAGGGGCCUGAGAAAUGGCCACUACGUCUAAGGAUGGCAGCAGGCGCGCAAAUUACCCACUCUCAGCACGAGGAGGUAGUGACGAAAAAUAACGAGACCGUUCUCUUAUGAGGCCGGUCAUCGGAAUGGGUACAAUUUAAACCCUUUAACGAGUAUCUAUGAGAGGGCAAGUCUGGUGCCAGCAGCCGCGGUAAUUCCAGCU
rnacentral:rRNA from 1 species